AUGAACGCUGGCGGCAUGCCUUACACAUGCCAGUCGAACGGCAGCAUGACCUAGCUUGCUAGGUUGAUGGCGAGUGGCGAACGGGUGAGUAAUGCAUCGGAACGUGCCUUUUAGUGGGGGAUAACGUAGCGAAAGUUACGCUAAUACCGCAUAUUCUCUGAGGAGGAAAGCAGGGGACCCUCGGGCCUUGCGCUAGAAGAGCGGCCGAUGUCGGAUUAGCUAGUUGGUGAGGUAAAGGCUCACCAAGGCAACGAUCCGUAGCGGGUCUGAGAGGAUGAUCCGCCACACUGGGACUGAGACAAGGCCCAGACUCCUACGGGAGGCAGCAGUGGGGAAUUUUGGACAAUGGGCGCAAGCCUGAUCCAGCCAUGCCGCGUGAGUGAAGAAGGCCUUCGGGUUGUAAAGCUCUUUCGGCUGGGAAGAAAUCGCACCCUCUAAUACAGGGUGUGGAUGACGGUACCAGCAUAAGAAGCACCGGCUAACUACGUG
rnacentral:rRNA from 1 species